rnacentral:rRNA from 1 species
CCUACGGGAGGCAGCAGUAGGGAAUCUUCCGCAAUGGACGAAAGUCUGACGGAGCAACGCCGCGUGAGCGAAGAAGGCCUUCGGGUCGUAAAGCUCUGUUGUUAGGGAAGAACAAGUACGAGAGUAACUGCUCGUACCUUGACGGUACCUAACCAGAAAGCCACGGCUAACUACGUGCCAGCAGCCGCGGUAAUACGUAGGUGGCAAGCGUUGUCCGGAAUUAUUGGGCGUAAAGCGCGCGCAGGUGGUUUCUUAAGUCUGAUGUGAAAGCCCACGGCUCAACCGUGGAGGGUCAUUGGAAACUGGGGAACUUGAGUGCAGAAGAGGAAAGUGGAAUUCCAAGUGUAGCGGUGAAAUGCGUAGAGAUUUGGAGGAACACCAGUGGCGAAGGCGACUUUCUGGUCUGUAACUGACACUGAGGCGCGAAAGCGUGGGGAGCGAACAGGAUUAGAUACCCUGGUAGUCCACGCCGUAAACGAUGAGUGCUAAGUGUUAGAGGGUUUCCGCCCUUUAGUGCUGCAGCUAACGCAUUAAGCACUCCGCCUGGGGAGUACGGUCGCAAGACUGAAACUCAAAUGAAUUGACGG